UACUCCUACGGGAGGCAGCAGUGGGGAAUUUUGGACAAUGGGGGAAACCCUGAUCCAGCCAUCCCGCGUGUGCGAUGAAGGCCUUCGGGUUGUAAAGCACUUUUGGCAGGAAAGAAACGUCGCGGGUUAAUACCCCGCGAAACUGACGGUACCUGCAGAAUAAGCACCGGCUAACUACGUGCCAGCAGCCGCGGUAAUACGUAGGGUGCAAGCGUUAAUCGGAAUUACUGGGCGUAAAGCGUGCGCAGGCGGUUCGGAAAGAAAGAUGUGAAAUCCCAGAGCUUAACUUUGGAACUGCAUUUUUAACUACCGGGCUAGAGUGUGUCAGAGGGAGGUGGAAUUCCGCGUGUAGCAGUGAAAUGCGUAGAUAUGCGGAGGAACACCGAUGGCGAAGGCAGCCUCCUGGGAUAACACUGACGCUCAUGCACGAAAGCGUGGGGAGCAAACAGGAUUAGAUACCCUGGUAGUCCACGCCCUAAACGAUGUCAACUAGCUGUUGGGGCCUUCGGGCCUUGGUAGCGCAGCUAACGCGUGAAGUUGACCGCCUGGGGAGUACGGUCGCAAGAUUAAAACUCAAAGGAAUUGACGGA
rnacentral:rRNA from 1 species